rnacentral:rRNA from 1 species
UACGGAGGAGGCAAGCGUUAUCCGGAAUUACUGGGCGUAAAGCGCACGUAGGCGGAUUGUUAAGUCGGGGGUGAAAUCCUGGAGCUCAACUCCAGAACUGCCUUCGAUACUGGCGAUCUCGAGUUCGGGAGAGGUGAGUGGAACUGCGAGUGUAGAGGUGAAAUUCGUAGAUAUUCGCAAGAACACCAGUGGCGAAGGCGGCUCACUGGCCCGAUACUGACGCUGAGGUGCGAAAGCGUGGGGAGCAAACAGG